GCAAAAAUUAAUCUUUGCCGUGUGGUACGUCGUACAGAAGACGGCAAAGUGUAAAAAACACAGCCAGCGCGCUACCUCUCGCGAGUGAAAAAAGACCACACUGGAUAAAAAAAACACAACCAGCGCCCCUCCCUCUCGCGACUGAAAAUAGCUAGGGUUCCACCGCGAGCCUCCCAGCCGCCGCCGGUGCCCUCCGCCGUCGUGAGCCUCCCACCC
rnacentral:lncRNA from 1 species